rnacentral:rRNA from 1 species
GACGAACGCUGGCGGCGUGCUUAACACAUGCAAGUCGAACGGAAAGGCCCUGCUUGCAGGGUACUCGAGUGGCGAACGGGUGAGUAACACGUGGGUGAUCUGCCCUGCACUUCGGGAUAAGCCUGGGAAACUGGGUCUAAUACCGGAUAGGAGCCAUUUUUAGUGUGAUGGUUGGAAAGUUUUUUCGGUGUAGGAUGAGCUCGCGGCCUAUCAGCUUGUUGGUGGGGUAAUGGCCUACCAAGGCGGCGACGGGUAGCCGGCCUGAGAGGGUGGACGGCCACAUUGGGACUGAGAUACGGCCCAGACUCCUACGGGAGGCAGCAGUGGGGAAUAUUGCACAAUGGGCGCAAGCCUGAUGCAGCGACGCCGCGUGGGGGAUGACGGCCUUCGGGUUGUAAACUCCUUUCGCUAGGGACGAAGCUUUUUGUGACGGCACCUAGAUAAGAAGCACCGGCUAACUACGUG